AUGGCGUCAAGGCCAACGAGGAGUCCGGCAAGGUCGCCGACCCGGAGUCCACCGACAACCCCGUCAUGCUCGCCAUCGUCCGCACAAGUACCGCAAGAUGGAGGAGAGGCUCGUCAGCGUCUCCGAGGAGACCACCACCGGCGUCAAGCAGGUGCAAGAGUCCGGCACUCUCCUGUUCCACGCCAUCAACGUCACCAAGAGCAAGGUUGCUUUGAUUUGUACAAGCUGCUGCUGCUGUAG
rnacentral:rRNA from 1 species